CUGGCUCAGGACGAACGCUGGCGGCGUGCUUAACACAUGCAAGUCGAACGAGACGAUUGAAAGCUUGCUUUUGAGAGUCGAGUGGCAAACGGGUGAGUAACGCGUAGACAACCUGCCGCAAAGAUGGGGACAACAGUCCGAAAGGACUGCUAAUACCGAAUGUUGUAUCGUUUCCGCAUGGAGAUGAUAUUAAAGAUGGCCUCUACUUGUAAGCUAUCG
rnacentral:rRNA from 1 species